CACCUAUUGCUGCAGAUCAGCGCUGUCACGCAGCCUGUGUUUCUGGAGUAGAGGCAGGGAAGCAGACUAUACAGAAAGCAAACUCUGCCUUAGGUUUUCAGGAUGCUCAGCUAGAUGAUGUUAUCAGGCAAACACAGAACUUCAUCCUCAGGCUUUGACAGGAGAAAGCAAAACCAAACCUGGUUUGAUACCAGAGAGACACUGUCUAUUUGAAAUAGAGCCAGCUUUUGAAAACAAGUUAGAAGUCAUCUCCUUGCCAAUUUUUGUGGGUGUUCAUCGUGCCUGGAUAGCAAGAAAAUUCCUGCAGGGAAUCUCAUGAAUGUCAGAGCUAGCAGAAAACAGAAGCAAGAUAUCAGCAUGUUCAAUGGCUGCAUUCCCCUGAGUGGAGGAAAAGUACCUGGGAAAGCAGUGAGAGGAGAGAUGAGGAGCAGCCUGCUGCAGAAAGAACUGCUGUCUAGAAGAGAACAUAUCAGGACAACUGCCAGCAUACUGAGCGAGAGGUGUUGGGAGUGUUUGUUGUUCACACUUAACAACCUGAUGUGAUUUAUCGUGCUUUUAUUUCGUCUCCCUCCAAAGAUGUUAUGUCUGUUUAAAUACAGUUUUCACUCUGUUGCUCACUACCGGAGAUGCUUCACUCAAGGAGCCCCAGGUAAUACAAUGCAGCUUCUCCCUGGAAGCCCAAAAUAGUGUUUAAAUGCUUUUCUGCAAAGACUCCGUAAAAAUUGAACACAACCUCUGCUUCGUUAGUCAGUUUGUGGCAGAACAGCAGGAAAGCCUGUCUGAACUUGAAUCUUAUGGCUGUAUUAAGACAUAUUUUUUCACAGUAAAGACAUAGACUUGGACUCCAUCAUCUCAGAAUAAAAGAGCAUAUCA
rnacentral:lncRNA from 1 species